rnacentral:tRNA from 1 species
GGGCGAAUAGCUCAGCCGGGAGAGCGCCUGCCUUACAAGCAGGAUGUCGGGGGUUCGAGCCCCUCUUCGCCCACCA